rnacentral:lncRNA from 1 species
UCCGCAAUCGAAAAUAUGCACUGCAAAGCCUUUUCAUUUGCAAUCUGUGUUAAUCGAGUAGUUUUGCACACAUUUAUUUCGUUUUAAGGGAGCAUUUUCCGUCGCUGUUCAAUUACUUUUAAAUAACUUUUCAUUUAAUAUAAACAAAAUAACACAGAGAUUUCGCGUUGCGCACGUUUUCGGAGAAUAAGUGAGGAAGGCCACGCGUGUACGGCGGAGCAUGAC